rnacentral:piRNA from 1 species
UGAUCCAGAGGAUUGCUACAUUUCCAAGGGU